rnacentral:rRNA from 1 species
GUCCACGCCGUAAACGAUGUCGACUUGGAGGUUGUGCCCUUGAGGCGUGGCUUCCUGAGCUAACGCGUUAAGUCGACCGCCUGGGGAGUACGGCCGCAAGGUUAAAACUCAAAUGAAUUGACGGGGGCCCGCACAAGCGGUGGAGCAUGUGGUUUAAUUCGAUGCAACGCGAAGAACCUUACCUGGUCUUGACAUCCACAGAACUUUCCAGAGAUGGAUUGGUGCCUUCGGGAACUGUGAGACAGGUGCUGCAUGGCUGUCGUCAGCUCGUGUUGUGAAAUGUUGGGUUAAGUCCCGCAACGAGCGCAACCCUUAUCCUUUGUUGCCAGCGGUCCGGCCGGGAACUCAAAGGAGACUGCCAGUGAUAAACUGGAGGAAGGUGGG